rnacentral:rRNA from 1 species
UGGGGAAUAUUGCACAAUGGGCGCAAGCCUGAUGCAGCCAUGCCGCGUGUAUGAAGAAGGCCUUCGGGUUGUAAAGUACUUUCAGCGGGGAGGAAGGGAGUAAAGUUAAUACCUUUGCUCAUUGACGUUACCCGCAGAAGAAGCAUCGGCUAACUCCGUGCCAGCAGCCGCGGUAAUACGGAGGGUGCAAGCGUUAAUCGGAAUUACUGGGCGUAAAGCGCACGCAGGCGGUUUGUUAAGUCAGAUGUGAAAUCCCCGGGCUCAACCUGGGAACUGCAUCUGAUACUGGCAAGCUUGAGUCUCGUAGAGGGGGGUAGAAUUCCAGGUGUAGCGGUGAAAUGCGUAGAGAUCUGGAGGAAUACCGGUGGCGAAGGCGGCCCCCUGGACGAAGACUGACGCUCAGGUGCGAAAGCGUGGGGAGCAAACAGG